CCAAUCAGAGCAGGCAGGACCAACAACCGCCCUUCGUUCUCCCAGGGUCGGUCUCUAUUCUUUGAUUCCCAUAUCAGAGCUAGCAGGACCAACAGCCCGCCCUUCUGUUCUCCCCGGUCUAUUUCUUUAUCAUCCACAUCAAGCCCGCCCUUCUGUUUCCCAGGUCUAUUUUUUAUCCAACUCGAGCAGCAGGCCAACAGCCCGACCUCUCUUUUCUCCCAGGUCUAUUUCUUUAUCCAAUCAGAGCAGCAGGACCAACAGCCCCGCCCUUCUGUUCUCCCAGGUCUAUUUCUUUAUCCAAUCAGAGCAGCAGGACCAACAGCCCCGCCCUUCUGUUCUCCCAGGUCUAUUUCUAUGGGCACAAACACUGUUCAUGACACAAACUGUUUUGGCAGGUUUGAAACUUAUUCCCUGCAAUUCUACACAUUUUGUCAUGGGCUGCAGAGAAAAUGUAGCAAUUUUUGAAGCACGUUUUCUUGCAAUUCUAUACAUUUUGCCAAUGUAUAAUGUUUAUUGAUGUGAUAUCUGAGUGACUCAAACAUUAAACAAAAUCUAUGUGCUAAAAGAAGAACAAGCUAAAAAAACGUUAGUUGAUCUGGACAUUUCAGAUCAGUUAUAAAUAUCUCUCUAAGAUCUGCAAUGACUAACAUGACAACAGGAACCGAUGAAUUAAAAAAUCAAUUAAAAAUUACUUUAACCUUUAUUUAACUAGGCAAGUCAGUAAAAAGAACAAAUUCUUAUUUACAAUGACGGCCUAGAAACUGAUGAUGAACUACCCAAAUUCUACAUUUCACCUUGUGCGUUUUUACUGUUUCAACUUAAAUAAAUCAACCGUUUCGGAACCACUGAUUUAGACCCCGUAGUACCUCGUACCUGACUAAUUGAC
rnacentral:lncRNA from 1 species